AGUCUCGUAGCUCAGCUGGUUAGAGCGCUACACUGAUAAUGUAGAGGCCGGCGGUUCAAGUCCGCCCGAGACUA
rnacentral:tRNA from 2 species